rnacentral:misc_RNA from 1 species
AAGGAGCACAGUACCGAUUGCAGGCAAAUGUUCUGCACGGUCAGCUCAUGGGUGGAACGUUGAUUAUUCGGCCUGGUUCUGGGUCGGAGGCAUUGCGAGUACUGCUCCUCGGAGCGUGGAAAGCAUGAUCUCCGGGCGGGAUCGGGUCGGGCACGCUGUUGGGUGUCUGAGGGAAUGAACCCCCUCGUGAUGCCGACCCCGGUAAAGGCCUGCUUCGGUGGGUUGUGACGGGUGGUUGGUCGUUG